AACGAACGCUGGCGGCGUGCCUAAUACAUGCAAGUCGAACGGUAAGUUUGGUAGCAAUAUCAAACCAAGAGUGACGUACGGGUGCGUAACACGUAUGCAACCUACCUUGUACAGGAGUAUAGCUCGGGGAAACUCGAAUUAACCCUCCAUGAGAUCACAGUGUGGCAUCACACAGUGAUUAAAACUCAGGUGGUACAAGAUGGGCAUGCGUCUGAUUAGUUAGNGGCGGGGUAAUGGCCCACCAAGACGAUGAUCAGUAGGGGACCUGAGAGGGUGAUCCCCCACACU
rnacentral:rRNA from 1 species